rnacentral:rRNA from 1 species
UACGUAGGGGGCAAGCGUUUGUCCGGAAUCAUUGGGCGUAAAGCGCGCGUAGGCGGCCCGGUAAGUCCGUUGUGAAAGUCAAAGGCUCAACCUUUGAACGCCGAUGGAUACUGCCGGGCUAGAGUCCGGAAGAGGCGAGUGGAAUUCCUGGUGUAGCGGUGGAAUGCGCAGAUAUCAGGAGGAACACCAAUAGCGAAGGCAGCACUCUGGGACGUGACUGACGCUGAGACGCGAAAGCGUGGGGAGCAAACAGG